GGGGGCUGUGAUUUGGAAGUAGCAUUCGUAUUUUCCUUUCUUUAAAGCAAGGCAGCUUCUUUGGGUCAAGCUUUCCGUGGUCUGCUGGGUUCUGCGGUGGGUUGCUCCUGCCGGUACCACGCUUUCCCUCACCGCCCUUUAUUUUGAUGGCACUGUGCCGGCUGCGGUUUCUAAAUUGGUGUCUCCCUUGUCAUCCAAGCGAGCUAGCAAGCAGCGGAUUAAUCAAAUUAGCUCUACAGAUGCAUUCAAAACACCCGAUUUUGAUGUCACAAAGUUGGUGGGAGGAUUUUCAAUAGCAAGGCUUUUUCUGUUUGGCAAAUACUCUUUGGAGAGCUAGAGACGCCAACGUUCAGAGUGAAGCCCCUUACAGACUUGCUUUGCUGUACUUCUGGAAGUUGAACGUGUGAACAAAUGUCCAAAGAAAAUAGUCAUAAGAUUGUAAAAUAGACCAAUGUCCUGUAAAAAUGUGUGUAGUGGUGGCAGUGUGUAGCAGGGAUCCCCUGGCAAAAUUCUGUGUUGAAAAUCCCCUGUUUGCUAUUGCAGGGUUUAUGGCAGAAGUAUAAAUUUAUCUGAAUGUAGAAGACUUUGUUUGUUUUUGGAAGUGCCCUUUCCUGAUAUACCUGGCUUAAUGCAAAUAAUCCAAAAACUCUCUCUGCAGUUGGAAGAACAAAAGAAAUGGACUGGCCUGGUUUUGGAAGAACAUCUCAUUUUUCAAAAUGGCAAUUCUUUUUUUUUUUUUUUUUUUUUUUUUUUUUUUUUUUUUUUGUGGUUUUUUUUGUUUUUUUUUUUUUUUUUUUUUUUUUUUUUUUUAACUCUCUGGGGAGGCUCCUGGCAGUGCUCCCUCGCACGUGGACGCAGACACUGUUGCAAUCCCAGCGCUGCUGUGCGGAGGACUGUCACCAGUGCAUCGCAUGCCAAAACAUAAAGACUAAGAGCGUUUGUGAGUCAGCAGAGCUGCGCAGCCUUUGGAAAGGUCAGUCUGAAGAUGCACUUUCGUAUGGUGGAGCCCGAGGCUCCCGGGACGGCUCCAUUUUCAUCGGGCUUGCCCACCCGUGGGUGCGUGAGCCUGCCCCGGGAUGA
rnacentral:lncRNA from 1 species